GGAGACACUGUCUCUAAAAAAAAAAAAAAAAAAAAAAAAAAUUAGCCUCAGCAUGGUGGUGUGGACCUGUAGUCCUAGCCACUCAGGAGACUGACAGGCAGGAGGAUCUGCUUGAGCCUAGGAGUUCCGGGCUGCAGUGAGCUAUGAUUGCACCACUGCAUUCCAUCCUGGACAACAGAGCAACACAGUGUCUCAGAAAGAGAGAGAGAUAACACUGGUGGAUGGUAGGAAGAGCAAUUGACAGCACCAUCUCUGGGCUUCUCACAAGUUUAUACAUCUGCUUCCUAUUACAAUGAUACCUACAGCCUCUGAGAGCCGGUAUUCCAACGCCACAAGACGCCUUAUGUCGUGAGCAGUUGACAACAGAGACCCAGCACUUACUGCAACCGGAAGGAGCAGUUCCUCCCUCGCUCGCGCAGCCGCUCUUCCCCGCCACUCCCUGGGUGCCUGCCAGCACCUUCCCAGCAAGCCCUGCGUAUAUUUGCAUAUCAACUCACGUCUUUUUCUUCUAACUAAAAAUCGAAAGCACAAAUUCUAGAUUCUCCUUGUGAAGUCUUCCUUUCACUUCAGAAGAAAUGGAAUUCGCUCUUCAACUUCAGGAAGUUGAAAUAAAGAGUUGCUUGGAUUUUGUGGUCACCUUUACCAUAAAAUGGAUUUGAUAACACUGCCACCCUGC
rnacentral:lncRNA from 1 species